GUCUUUUGUUGGUCGAAGAGUGAAAUUUUAGUCCAUGUUGUUAAGAUAUCAUGACUAGAAUGACACUCUUCAAUCAGUGAAAGAU
rfam:Pediculus humanus corporis strain TSDA 1103172085476, whole genome shotgun sequence.